UACGGAGGGGGCUAGCGUUGUUCGGAAUUACUGGGCGUAAAGCGCACGUAGGCGGCUUUGUAAGUUAGAGGUGAAAGCCCAGGGCUUAACCCUGGAAUUGCCUUUAAGACUGCAUCGCUAGAAUCGUGGAGAGGUGAGUGGAAUUCCGAGUGUAGAGGUGAAAUUCGUAGAUAUUCGGAAGAACACCAGUGGCGAAGGCGACUCACUGGCCCGUUACUGACGCUGAGGCGCGAAAGCGUGGGGAGCAAACAGG
rnacentral:rRNA from 1 species